rnacentral:lncRNA from 1 species
ACCUCAUCCCAUUCUCUUUCAGAUUUGGUUGAUUCUACACCAUCAAUUAUCUUAGUGGGUGUGUGUGGUCCAUUAACUAUGAUACUCCACAUAUCAUAGUCAAGUGCUUGAAUAAAAAUUUUCAUCUGAGCUUUCCAAUAGGUGUAGUUUGAUCCAUUAAAGUGAAGGUCAGUUUGUGGACUACCCCUCGGUUAGUGAAGCACCAACUUGAGUUGUCAU